ensembl:snRNA U6 U6 spliceosomal RNA
GUGCUCGCUUCAGCAGCACAUAUACUAAGAUUGGAAUGAUACAGAGAAGGUUAGCAUGGCCCCUGCAUAAGGAUGACAUGCAUAUUCGUGAAACAUUCCACAAUUAA